AUGCUUGAGCCUUUUCCAAUAUACGACGUGUUUCACACCCCUACAAUUGACUUCCAUGACACUGAACUUCAUAGGGAAGCCCUUUUAAUGAAGCAAGAAUUCAGCUUUGUCUUGCAACAGGAGGUCCCUGAUAGGAACAGCCAACUUGUGGAACGGCCCGAACAAGAGAAUGUUCAUGUUUCACCUCAGCGCAUGGACUCUGGAUUCAAAGUCCUACAGGAGAUGGUCCAUCUGUAUGAAACCAUCGGGAAUGACAUGGUUCAUAACAUGCCUAGGACUGACGAUCCACAAAGUCUCAGGAAGCGACUAAUGGUCCAGAUGCUGAUGGUCAGGGAGAAUGAAGCAAAGGAUAACAUUCCAGAGCAAGUUAGAGCAGCGUUGAGAUUUAUUGGUGGCUAA
rnacentral:rRNA from 1 species